UACAGGGGGUGCAAACGUUGCUCGGAAUUAUUGGGCGUAAAGCGCGCGUAGGCGGCUACUUAUGUCGGAUGUGAAAGCCCUUGGCUCAACUGAGGAAGUGCACCCGAAACUGAGUAGCUGGAGUACGAAAGAGGGUCGCGGAAUUCCCGGUGUAGAGGUGAAAUUCGUAGAUAUCGGGAGGAACACCUAUGGCGAAGGCAGCUCGCUGGGACGGUACUGACGCUGAGGCGCGAAAGCGUGGGGAGCAAACAGG
rnacentral:rRNA from 1 species